CGCUUCUCCGUCGUGCUUUUCCUUGGAUUCAGGACCUCUGGCCUUAGCCAUUCACACCCAUUGUGCGCACUGUCCGCCUGCCUUUAUGGGCGGGAUGAUCUGGGCAAGAGCGCAGACGCCACCAGGUGAGAAUUCCCAGGGACGUGGCACACGCUGCACCCCAAGACCACAGUGGGAGUUCAGCGAAGUCAGGCUUCCCCGACCCACAACUUCCCUCUCUUUUCCGGGAGUGUUGGAACCUUGGCCGCCACACUGCGGCCACCCUCCUGAGCUCCACGCCCGUGCUUGUUGCAGCACCUCAGCAUUUCCGAUUUGGGUCUGAGGUAAUAAGCUGCGGGCACCGAGUUCUCAUCUCGACAGUACCACUCUUCCAGUAACUUGGUUUCCAGCUUUGCCUCUAUGGCAGCAUCCAAAAUCAUCUCAAACUCUGAGGCUUCAACUUCUCCAGGGAUUCGGAUGUUCCCAUAUUUUUCACCUAAUAGUCCCUGUGUAUCAACAAGAAAUUUCAGUUUAGUGUAUCACCAAGAAAGUUCAUUUCAGUACUCACAUCAUAUGGCCACUCAAUAAAUAUUAACAGAUAGAUAACAAGAUACAUUGUUCCAUCAAUUGCCUCUUUUAAUCAUAGUGGAUACUUUUUUUCCCAUGGAUUAUUUCAUAAGUAAAAUUAGACCAUUUAUACUGCAUUUAUAAUUUAUAGUUAUAAAUUAUAAUAAAUUUAUAUACUGAGAAUUGAGAUUGCAUAUCAUAUCAGACAAACCCCAAAUACAGAAUUCUGUAGCGAAGUUGUUUUCACAGAGUUUAUAUACUAUAACAAAAAUUGUCAAUUUUGAGAUUUUUUUUGUUUGUUCUUGACAAAGAAAGAUGAUGUGCUGGACUCUAUGAAAUAUCAAACACGGAAACUCGCAAGCAAAAGAAUUGCUUUAUAAAGAGUUUACAGAAUGAUUCUAAGCCCCAGAUUUACACAGCUACAAAUGAAAGAAGUAUGAAAUCAUGGAAUGUUAUGUGACUAUAAAUCCACUGGUAACUGGAAAAAAUUCAAAAUAUAAACAAGAUAUCAUUUUCUCCCUGUUGAAUUGGCCAAGGAAAACAGGUGCUCAGUGUCAUGUAAGAAAACACCUCUAUAGUGCUGAUAAGUGUGUCAACUGAGCCAGUGUUUUUUUGAAGGGUAUUCUGGCAAUAUAUAUUCAAAGCUUUAAAAUACAUGAGUUUUGACUCCGACAUUUUUCUUCUGGGAAUCUGUCUUUAGAAAAUAAUUAAAGAUAUACAGAGAGACUUAACAGCAUAUUUAUUCUGAACCCGUUUUACCAGGAAAGAGUUAAACCUAUGUGUCCAGCAAAUGGGAACAUUUAAAUACAUAUAAAUAUAUUUUGGUACCUCUAUUCAAAGGAUGUACCAAAUUAUGUUCUACAACUGUAUUGAUGUAGAAAGAUGUUUAUAAUAUAUUAUUAAGUGAAAAGGUUAAGUUACAAAAGAUGUAUAAGAUGAAUCCAAUGUUGUAUACAUUUUAUAUAUAUAUGAGAAACAUAUAUGUAUAUGUGUAGACAUAAACAUAACAUACACAUAGAGAUUUUAUAAAAAUACACAGCAGGGUUACUAAUGGCUAUCUUUCAGUGGAUGGUUUUAAAUUUACUUUGGUUUUAUGAAUUCAUUGUUUAUUAAAACAUUUUUUUUUCAAUACAUGUGUAUUAUUUUGCAGUGAGAAAAACAACAGGUGUUAAAAAAUUUUAAACCUA